rnacentral:rRNA from 1 species
GACGAACGCUGGCGGCGUGCUUAACACAUGCAAGUCGAACGGUAAGGCCCUUCGGGGUACACGAGUGGCGAACGGGUGAGUAACACGUGGGUGAUCUGCCCUGCACCUCGGGAUAAGCCUGGGAAACUGGGUCUAAUACCGGAUAGGACCACUGCCUGCAUGGGUGGUGGUGGAAAGCUUUUGCGGUGUGGGAUGGGCCCGCGGCCUAUCGGCUUGUUGGUGGGGUGAUGGCCUACCAAGGCGACGACGGGUAGCCGGCCUGAGAGGGUGACCGGCCACACUGGGACUGAGAUACGGCCCAGACUCCUACGGGAGGCAGCAGUGGGGAAUAUUGCACAAUGGGCGCAAGCCUGAUGCAGCGACGCCGCGUGAGGGAUGACGGCCUUCGGGUUGUAAACCUCUUUCAGCACCGACGAAGCGCAAGUGACGGUAGGUGCAGAAGAAGGACCGGCCAACUACGUGCCAGCAGCCGCUGUAA